GUCGAACGAGAAAGUGUAGCAAUACAUGAGUAAAGUGGCGACCGGGUGAGUAACACGUGACUAACCUGCCCUUGAGUGGGGGAUAACCUCGGGAAACCGGGGCUAAUACCGCAUAACAUCACGAGGUGAAAUUCCUUGUGAUCAAAGGAGCAAUUCGCUGAAGGAGGGGGUCGCGGCUGAUUAGCCAGUUGGCGGGGUAACGGCCCACCAAAGCAAUGAUCAGUAGCCGGCCUGAGAGGGCGCACGGCCACACUGGAACUGAAACACGGUCCAGACUCCUACGGGAGGCAGCAGUGGGGAAUUUUGCGCAAUGGGGGAAACCCUGACGCAGCAACGCCGCGUGGAGGAUGAAGUCCCUUGGGAUGUAAACUCCUUUCGAUCGGGACGAUUAUGACGGUACCGGAAGAAGAAGCACCGGCUAACUCUGUGCCAGCAGCCGCGGUAAUACAGAGGGUGCAAGCGUUGUUCGGAAUUAUUGGGCGUAAAGGGCGUGUAGGCGGUGCGGUAAGUUUGUGGUGAAAUCUCCGGGCUCAACUCGGAAAUUGCCGCGAAGACUGCCGUGCUUGAGUGUGGGAGAGGUGAGUGGAAUUCCUGGUGUAGCGGUGAAAUGCGUAGAUAUCGGGAGGAACACCUGCGGCGAAAGCGGCUCACUGGACCAUAACUGACGCUGAGACGCGAAAGCUAGGGGAGCAAACAGGAUUAGAUACCCUG
rnacentral:rRNA from 1 species